UACGGGGGGUGCAAGCGUUGUCCGGAAUCACUGGGCGUAAAGGGCGCGUAGGUGGCUUCUUAAGCGUGCGGUGAAAGCCUGGGGCUCAACCCCCGGGGUCGGCCGUGCGAACUGGGGGGGCUGGAGCACUGUAGAGGCAGGCGGAAUUCCGGAUGUAGCGGUGGAAUGCGUAGAGAUCCGGAAGAACACCGGUGGCGAAGGCGGCCUGCUGGGCAGUUGCUGACACUGAGGCGCGGACAGCGUGGGGAGCAAACAGG
rnacentral:rRNA from 1 species